rnacentral:rRNA from 1 species
AGUGAACGCUGGCGGUAGGCCUAACACAUACAAGUCGAACGGCAGCACAGUAAGAGCUUGCUCUUACGGGUGGCGAGUGGCGGACGGGUGAGGAAUACAUCGGAAUCUACUUUUUCGUGGGGGAUAACGUAGGGAAACUUACGCUAAUACCGCAUACGACCUACGGGUGAAAGCAGGGGAUCUUCGGACCUUGCGCGAUUGAAUGAGCCGAUGUCGGAUUAGCUAGUUGGCGGGGUAAAGGCCCACCAAGGCGACGAUCCGUAGCUGGUCUGAGAGGAUGAUCAGCCACACUGGAACUGAGACACGGUCCAGACUCCUACGGGAGGCAGCAGUGGGGAAUAUUGGACAAUGGGCGCAAGCCUGAUCCAGCCAUACCGCGUGGGUGAAGAAGGCCUUCGGGUUGUAAAGCCCUUUUGUUGGGAAAGAAAAGCAGCAGGUUAAUACCCCGCUGUCCUGACGGUACCCAAAGAAUAAGCACCGGCUAACUUCGUG